AGGUACUUGUGAAUCCCGUUCAAACCUCACAGCCUACUUCUGCUAUUCUGAUCAUUAAGGAAGCUGAAUAAAAUCUGAAGGGGAACGUGUUGCUGAUCUGUGUUCCCAGGAUGCGCUAAAGAUAAACAAGAUUACUACUGUGCUCUUGCUAAGUUUCCUGUCCACGCUGCUCUAUUGUCUUUGCUAAAAGAUGUUGCUAAACCAAUAACUAGGACCUCUGCAACAGACUUCUACAACAGUCCAAAGGGAAGAUUGGUAUGGCUUUUCAAAAAAUACAUUUGUUUCUUUUUCCCAUUUGUUAGUAUUAAAGAUGGGUGAAACUACACAAUGCCCUGUGUAAUCUUUUCUGGGCAACAGAUGCUUCAGAGUAGUCUAAGAAAUGCAAAUCAACCAACCAUUUUUAUGUUGGUUUGGGGUGUUUUUCCUGUUUGGUUUUUUUGGGGUUUGUUGUUGGGUUUGGGCUUUUUUAGCAAAAUGUUUCAGAAACUGGUCAUUCUGGAAGGGUAAUCACACUGCCUUAAAAAAAACCAAAACAAAACCAACCUAGUUUCUGUUGCAGCUGGGGGUUAUGUU